GGGUUGUGAGGUUAAGCGACUAAGCGUACACGGUGGAUGCCCUGGCAGUCAGAGGCGAUGAAGGACGUGCUAAUCUGCGAUAAGCGUCGGUAAGGUGAUAUGAACCGUUAUAACCGGCGAUUUCCGAAUGGGGAAACCCAGUGUGAUUCGUCACACUAUCAUUAACUGAAUCCAUAGGUUAAUGAGGCGAACCGGGGGAACUGAAACAUCUAAGUACCCCGAGGAAAAGAAAUCAACCGAGAUUCCCCCAGUAGCGGCGAGCGAACGGGGAGCAGCCCAGAGCCUGAAUCAGUGUGUGUGUUAGUGGAAGCGUCUGGAAAGGCGCGCGAUACAGGGUGACAGCCCCGUACACAAAAAUGCACAUGCUGUGAGCUCGAUGAGUAGGGCGGGACACGUGGUAUCCUGUCUGAAUAUGGGGGGACCAUCCUCCAAGGCUAAAUACUCCUGACUGACCGAUAGUGAACCAGUACCGUGAGGGAAAGGCGAAAAGAACCCCGGCGAGGGGAGUGAAAAAGAACCUGAAACCGUGUACGUACAAGCAGUGGGAGCACGCUUCGGCGUGUGACUGCGUACCUUUUGUAUAAUGGGUCAGCGACUUAUAUUCUGUAGCAAGGUUAACCGAAUAGGGGAGCCGAAGGGAAACCGAGUCUUAACUGGGCGUUAAGUUGCAGGGUAUAGACCCGAAACCCGGUGAUCUAGCCAUGGGCAGGUUGAAGGUUGGGUAACACUAACUGGAGGACCGAACCGACUAAUGUUGAAAAAUUAGCGGAUGACUUGUGGCUGGGGGUGAAAGGCCAAUCAAACCGGGAGAUAGCUGGUUCUCCCCGAAAGCUAUUUAGGUAGCGCCUCGUGAAUUCAUCUCCGGGGGUAGAGCACUGUUUCGGCAAGGGGGUCAUCCCGACUUACCAACCCGAUGCAAACUGCGAAUACCGGAGAAUGUUAUCACGGGAGACACACGGCGGGUGCUAACGUCCGUCGUGAAGAGGGAAACAACCCAGACCGCCAGCUAAGGUCCCAAAGUCAUGGUUAAGUGGGAAACGAUGUGGGAAGGCCCAGACAGCCAGGAUGUUGGCUUAGAAGCAGCCAUCAUUUAAAGAAAGCGUAAUAGCUCACUGGUCGAGUCGGCCUGCGCGGAAGAUGUAACGGGGCUAAACCAUGCACCGAAGCUGCGGCAGCGACGCUUAUGCGUUGUUGGGUAGGGGAGCGUUCUGUAAGCCUGUGAAGGUGUGCUGUGAGGCAUGCUGGAGGUAUCAGAAGUGCGAAUGCUGACAUAAGUAACGAUAAAGCGGGUGAAAAGCCCGCUCGCCGGAAGACCAAGGGUUCCUGUCCAACGUUAAUCGGGGCAGGGUGAGUCGACCCCUAAGGCGAGGCCGAAAGGCGUAGUCGAUGGGAAACAGGUUAAUAUUCCUGUACUUGGUGUUACUGCGAAGGGGGGACGGAGAAGGCUAUGUUGGCCGGGCGACGGUUGUCCCGGUUUAAGCGUGUAGGCUGGUUUUCCAGGCAAAUCCGGAAAAUCAAGGCUGAGGCGUGAUGACGAGGCACUACGGUGCUGAAGCAACAAAUGCCCUGCUUCCAGGAAAAGCCUCUAAGCAUCAGGUAACAUCAAAUCGUACCCCAAACCGACACAGGUGGUCAGGUAGAGAAUACCAAGGCGCUUGAGAGAACUCGGGUGAAGGAACUAGGCAAAAUGGUGCCGUAACUUCGGGAGAAGGCACGCUGAUAUGUAGGUGAAGCGACUUGCUCGUGGAGCUGAAAUCAGUCGAAGAUACCAGCUGGCUGCAACUGUUUAUUAAAAACACAGCACUGUGCAAACACGAAAGUGGACGUAUACGGUGUGACGCCUGCCCGGUGCCGGAAGGUUAAUUGAUGGGGUCAGCGCAAGCGAAGCUCUUGAUCGAAGCCCCGGUAAACGGCGGCCGUAACUAUAACGGUCCUAAGGUAGCGAAAUUCCUUGUCGGGUAAGUUCCGACCUGCACGAAUGGCGUAAUGAUGGCCAGGCUGUCUCCACCCGAGACUCAGUGAAAUUGAACUCGCUGUGAAGAUGCAGUGUACCCGCGGCAAGACGGAAAGACCCCGUGAACCUUUACUAUAGCUUGACACUGAACAUUGAGCCUUGAUGUGUAGGAUAGGUGGGAGGCUUGGAAGUGUGGACGCCAGUCUGCAUGGAGCCGACCUUGAAAUACCACCCUUUAAUGUUUGAUGUUCUAACGUUGACCCGUAAUCCGGGUUGCGGACAGUGUCUGGUGGGUAGUUUGACUGGGGCGGUCUCCUCCUAAAGAGUAACGGAGGAGCACGAAGGUUGGCUAAUCCUGGUCGGACAUCAGGAGGUUAGUGCAAUGGCAUAAGCCAGCUUGACUGCGAGCGUGACGGCGCGAGCAGGUGCGAAAGCAGGUCAUAGUGAUCCGGUGGUUCUGAAUGGAAGGGCCAUCGCUCAACGGAUAAAAGGUACUCCGGGGAUAACAGGCUGAUACCGCCCAAGAGUUCAUAUCGACGGCGGUGUUUGGCACCUCGAUGUCGGCUCAUCACAUCCUGGGGCUGAAGUAGGUCCCAAGGGUAUGGCUGUUCGCCAUUUAAAGUGGUACGCGAGCUGGGUUUAGAACGUCGUGAGACAGUUCGGUCCCUAUCUGCCGUGGGCGCUGGAGAACUGAGGGGGGCUGCUCCUAGUACGAGAGGACCGGAGUGGACGCAUCACUGGUGUUCGGGUUGUCAUGCCAAUGGCACUGCCCGGUAGCUAAAUGCGGAAGAGAUAAGUGCUGAAAGCAUCUAAGCACGAAACUUGCCCCGAGAUGAGUUCUCCCUGACCCUUUAAGGGUCCUGAAGGAACGUUGAAGACGACGACGUUGAUAGGCCGGGUGUGUAAGCGCAGCGAUGCGUUGAGCUAACCGGUACUAAUGAACCGUGAGGCUUAACCUUACAACGCCGAAG
rnacentral:rRNA from 1 species